UAAUAAGUGUUUUAUGGCACUUUUUAAAUCCAUAUCCACCUUGUGUGCAAUGUCAGUUGAUCUUCUUUAUGUAGAUCAGCCAAACAUCAACCUAAUUUUUAACACUUUGUCUGAAAAAUAUUAUGAAUAAAUAAUUCAAAAUA
rnacentral:misc_RNA from 1 species